rnacentral:rRNA from 1 species
UUUCGCAAUGCCCGAAAGGGUGACGAAGCGACGCCGCGUGUGGGAAGAAGGCCUUCGGGUUGUAAACCACUGUCGGGAGUUAAGAAAUACAAGGAUAUUAAUAGUGUCUUUGUUUGACUAAGGCUCCGGAGGAAGCCACGGCUAACUCUGUGCCAGCAGCCGCGGUAAUACAGAGGCGGCAAGCGUUGUUCGGAAUUAUUGGGCGUGAAGAGCACGUAGGCGGCUAUGUAAGUCGGUUGUGAAAGCCUUCCGCUCAACGGAAGAACAGCAUCCGAUACUACAUGGCUUGAGUGCGGGAGGGGAGAGUGGAACUUCUGGUGGAGCGGUGAAAUGCGUAGAUAUCAGAAGGAACGCCGGCGGCGAAAGCGGCUCUCUGGCCCAUAACUGACGCUGAGUGUGCGAAAGCUAGGGGAGCAAACGGGAUUAGAUACCCCGGUAGUCCUAGCCGUAAACGAUGGGCACUAAGUAGAGGGGUUUU